rnacentral:rRNA from 1 species
CCUACGGGAGGCAGCAGUGGGGAAUUUUGGACAAUGGGCGAAAGCCUGAUCCAGCAAUGCCGCGUGCAUGAUGAAGGCCUUCGGGUUGUAAACUGCUUUUGUACGGAACGAAAAAGCUUCUCCUAAUACGAGAGGCCCAUGACGGUACCGUAAGAAUAAGCACCGGCUAACUACGUGCCAGCAGCCGCGGUAAUACGUAGGGUGCGAGCGUUAAUCGGAAUUACUGGGCGUAAAGCGUGCGCAGGCGGUUAUGUAAGACAGAUGUGAAAUCCCCGGGCUCAACCUGGGAACUGCAUUUGUGACUGCAUGGCUAGAGUACGGUAGAGGGGGAUGGAAUUCCGCGUGUAGCAGUGAAAUGCGUAGAUAUGCGGAGGAACACCGAUGGCGAAGGCAAUCCCCUGGACCUGUACUGACGCUCAUGCACGAAAGCGUGGGGAGCAAACAGGAUUAGAUACCCUGGUAG